UACGUAUGGAGCAAGCGUUAUCCGGAUUUACUGGGUGUAAAGGGUGCGUAGGUGGCAGUGCAAGUCAGAUGUGAAAGGCCGGGGCUCAACCCCGGAGCUGCAUUUGAAACUGCGCGGCUAGAGUACAGGAGAGGCAGGCGGAAUUCCUAGUGUAGCGGUGAAAUGCGUAGAUAUUAGGAGGAACACCAGUGGCGAAGGCGGCCUGCUAGACUGUUACUGACACUGAGGCACGAAAGCGUGGGGAGCAAACAGG
rnacentral:rRNA from 1 species